GGGAUGGUCAGAAAGACGUAGUUGUCCAGUUAAAUUGUUGGCAUUAGAUCACAAACCUCAACUCACCUCUCAGCAUUUGACAAAAAUCAGGCAGCCUAGAUAUUUUUCAUGGUCCUGGAUUAUAUAUAAAAACAUCAUGGAUUCUCUCCUUGGUGCUUUGCCAUGUUUUGGUUCCAAAACAAUAAGAACAAUAGCUGUAUGCAGAGAACAGUCCAGAAAUGUUGGAGAGGAAGGGGUGUGUUGGCAGGUAAGAACUCUUAAAGAAU